rnacentral:rRNA from 1 species
AACACGACUCUCGGCAACGGAUAUCUCGGCUCUCGCAUCGAUGAAGAACGUAGAAAAAUGCGAUACCUGGUGUGAAUUGCAGAAUCCCGUGAACCAUCGAGUUUUUGAACGCAAGUUGCGCCCGAGGCCUUCUGGUCGAGGGCACGCCUGCCUGGGCGUCACGU